CCAGAGAUCUCAUUUUGAGGUUGAUGGAAGAGAGAGAUUCCAUUCUUCGACAAAAUGCCAAGCUCAACCGAGACCUGGUAUUUGAUGUUUCUUUCUUUAUCUUUGGAUUAACAGACAUUCUUUAUAUAUAUUAAACAUAGUUAGGCAUCAUUACAAAAUACAGGGUUCAGACAGCCUCUGGAGUCUUCUACUCUAUUUAUAUAUAUAUAUAUAUGAAAGCCGGGAUUGGUAUAGAUAACUGAGAUGGAUCUUUUAGAAGGAGUUCCUAAUAUGUGUAACUGAAAAGCAUCAUAGGCGAACAAGGAGGAACUAUCAACAAAAAUAUGUUACCAAAAAGUUUCUUCUUUGCUCGUUCCUUUGCUAGUUAGUCCGUGAUGAUGUUCUGUUCUUUGUAGCAGUGAGUCAGCUGAGGUGCUUGUAGCAUCACCGUCAAUAACCUGCAUUCAUCCAUAAUAGUAGAGUAAGUGUCAUUAUUUUUAAGGAGUAGAUUAAUUACCUCUAAGGAGUCAGUGUUGAUCUUUCGUGGCAUGUAGUUAUUUUUCACAGUGAUCCUCAAUCUGUAGAGCAAGGCACAAAGUUCAGUCAUGUUGUUAGUAGCUUUUGGAACAACCUUUCAUGAAUCCAAGAACCCAGUAUCUGCUGCUAUCGAUAAAAUCCCUCCCAUACCUCCAACUUCUAGAUUACCUAAUGAAGAACCGUCCAUGUUAAGCUUAUAGUGGUUCCUUCUACCUUUUUCCCAACUAACCGCAAUGGGCAUAUCACUAGUCUGGCUAUUUGUUCACAAAUGGAAUUCCAUAGCCCUUGGGCUGACAUUUUUAUAAGGGAAAAUGAUUUUUAUUAUUUAUGAAAACUAUUGUGGGACUACACUGGGUUUGUUGUUGUUGUGGUAUUGUCAUUUCCAGUGAGCCAAAUGUUCCAAAGACAAAAAGGUAACAGGUCUUUCCAGGUUAUGAACCCAUUAACAGUCCUGCUGCUAUUAAUGAUAUUCCAAGUGAACCCGAGAGGCCUGGUCUUUGAAGCAAUGAUCAUGGGAGGCGUAUAUGUUAAUGCUACUAGCAUCCGUAUCAUUCCAGAAGGAGACUGUGUUAGUGCAGCAGUCAAAGAAAAUGUGUCUUCCCUGUGUUUCUGCAUUACUGGUCAAUGGUUUUUAAGUAAAUUGAUGUUUCCUUUUUCUGUCUACUAGUUCACAAGUUCCAGAUAAUUUUAUGUGCAUGGUAGCUUGAAGGUCAUUAAUCCCCAGUUAUAGCAGUAAACAGGUCCGUUAGCGUACAAGCAUUAACCAAAUGAUCUAAGUUAGUCUUGAAAGGCGAGUUUUAGAGAGAAGGUGGUAACUGUUAGAGACUAGAACUUGUAUUUAGAAUGUGGACCAAGUUGAUUUUAAGAAACUUUAUUGUGCAAUCAGCAGAAAAUACUCCCUCUGUUCCUUUUUAUAUGUCAUCCCUUUCUAUAAAUAGUUGGACCAUAAUACUUGUCAUUUCAUAAAAUCAAUGCAUAAAUUACCAGUAGUUAAUUAGUCUUGAAAAUAUAUACUUUGAUCAACCUAGGAAAACUAAUAAGUAAUUAAUAUUUAUUGGAGUACUUCAUACAUUGAUUAAUUACUCUCUCCAUUCACUAUUCUAUAAAAUCUGAUUUUGAAAUAAACUCAAAAUUUAAAUAGUCAUCCAAAUGCAUUUUAAUUUUUGGAAUCUAGCAUAUUCAUCAUUUAUUGAAAAGUUGACUUAAGAAAAUAUCAAAUAAGGGUAUAAGGGUAAAGUUACAUAAUUUCUUAAUGCAAGUGCAAUCUAAAAAUGUGACAUAUAAAAAGGAACGGAGGGAGUAGUUCGUAGACUACUUAGUUUUAGUGUGAUAACCAUAGGCUGGUGAUUUGGCCUAAGCUGGGAACUUCAUAACAAACUCGGGCCUUUAUCUGGAUUUUCUUGUAACAACUGUUUGAAUUUAGUAGGUGUGCACAAAGAAAAUUUUCCAUCUGUUGUGUUGACAUUUUGGCUAAGAUGAUUUUAUCAUUUGGUUCUUUUUGAAACCAUUGUCCAGGAGCUUCUUAGGCAUGGACGUCACGAACGUCGUACUGGAGUUCGACUUUUGUACAUCUUGCUGGUUGGCUUGGCUGGUAUUCUUUUGGGGUUCAUUGUCAGAAACGUUUGAUGACCUCACAGCUCUGAGAUUUUAUACUCUCUUUCUGGUUGCUGUGGGCAGGUGUGAGGGACGAUUUGAAUACUUUCUAAGAGAACUUUUGUACAUCUAUUUGAGUCUGAAUUGCUUGCUAAUUCUAAGUAUAUUAGUUGAAUAUUUUCAAUGUCGUAUGAUGAUAGAACUAUAGUUGUGGUCCUAGCUUUGCUUUUAUGAGGUAAAUCAAAAGGAAGAAAAGAAGAAAGAAUACCACAUUGAGUUGUAGCCUGUAUUGAACUAUCAUGUAGGUGUUUUUUGUUUCGAAGCAUGAAAUAUCAAACGAGUUUUGUCUGAAAAACAGUUCAGCUAAAGACAUGUAAUGCUAAUAGAUGGCUAUUGUUAGUAUUUCCAGAAAACAUGAAGAAUUGUUAUUGAUUGACUAGUUGAGUUUUUGAUUCAACGUUUCAUUCCCCAGAGUGAUGGGUUUAUUUCAUUACUAAAACUAAAUUAUGGACAAAGUUUAGAGUCAAAAUAUUACAGAGUAGAAAAGAAGGGAAAGGGGAAAAAGUUACAUCACAGCUACAAGCAUCACAAUGAAUAUCCAUAUCUUCGUCUUCAUCCUCACUGUCAUUGGGCCAACCAUUCCUACGAAUGCGUUGAUGCUGAAUUGUGCAACGAUUUGGUCUUUGUCCCAACACUAAAGGAUUUUUCACCCAAAUAUGUGUCAAGAUUUCGACUAACUUCUUUUGAUACUCCCUUGUUAUCUUCCUUAGUCGCUUUGUUCGAAUAUCAUUAAGUUAUAAUGUCUGCAGAUCCAGAAAAUUGUAUUUCUGGUCUUUAUGGUUUGCCACUCAUUCAACACUAAACUCUUAUGUUGUAACCUUAUGCAGAGAGUCAUUGAUAUGGAUUUGAAAUGUUGUGUGCUGAAAUAUUUUAGAGAAUACGUGCAUAGGGGAAGAGUACUUUGGACUUGUGUAGGUGUACCUAACGGAUAAGAAAGUUAACUACACCUUAGUCUAUUUUAUAUUUCAGCAUUUGACAUUUUGAGCCCAAUAUAAGUUAGGUAUAAUGUUGCUUGGACUCUCUAAAAAUGUCGACCGACAGAUACUCCAAAAAAAGUUCAUUUUGGAGAAUCACCAUUUCUCAAGCAUGUGUAUGGUAAAAAGGUUUCAUUUCCAGAUAGGAAUAAGAAAUGCCUAGUUGACUUUUUCUUCAUUAGCUAGGUUAUAUUUUUCUUGUGCAUAAAUAUCGAAAAACCGAAAUACUGAAUCGAACUGAACUUUUUUGAUAUUUCAGUUUCGGUAUUUCGAUUUUCGGUAUAUGUUUUCGAAUUUUUGGUAUUUUGGUUCGGUUUUUGAUAUGUAUUUUUGUGUAUUUUGGUUAAACCGAAAUAUAUUAUAUUAUAAUAUAUAUUAAUAUUAUAUUAAUUAUUAAUAUUAAAUAUUAUAAAGAAAAUGCAAAAUUAGGUUAGAUUUUUACCUUUUCAUUUUUCAACUUCUCAAUGUUUCAAAAUUAGCUCGUGCCUUAGUGACGCCGCACUUCCCACUUCCCUGAUCCCUCACCAUUCUUUAAUUACUGCCGCCGACCAGUGACCACUGUGACCAACAGCCGAUUAGCGACCAGCGGCAGCCGGCCAGUCAGUGUCUCAGCAGUUAGUGAUUUCUCAUUUCAGCAACCAGCGCCCAGCGGCGACGAGCCGACUGGCGACUAGUCUCCGGGUAUUUGAUUUUUUAAACAAAAAAUUAAAUAACAAAAAUCGAACCGAACUAACAAAUAACCGAACCAAAUUAACUAAAAUCGAACCAAAUCGAAUUAUUUCGGUUCGGUGUUCGGUACACCUAUCGCAAGAACCAAAAAUAUCGAAAAAGAAAAAUCGAAACCGAACCGAAUUACCGAAUGCCCAGCCCUAAUUUUUUCCUUAGCAUUCUUGCUAACUUUAGAUUAAAGUCAACAAAUUUUCCUCUUUCUUUAACAGAUAACUUGCUCAAUUUACCUUUUAAUCUUUUUUUCUCUUGGAUUAAAAUCACCAUUUCUCAAGUCUAAAUUAAGCUACCAAAGAUGGCUUGCAUUUAAUUUGUGCAUCUUAAAACAAACCUUCAAUUCUUUCUACCUUGCCUUGUGGAUUCACGAGUGCUUUAUUAUUAAUUGUUGUUGCACCUAAUAGAGGCAAUUUGAGGGUAUACUACACCACUUUCAUUUUCACACAAUUUCUUCGUAAGUGAGAUGAGUUACUUCUUUUGAUUUAAACAGGGAUUGUUUUUUUAUGGAUGAAAACUUACUAUACAUUAACGCUCAACUGAUCUCAAUCAUGUAGGAAUUUAAUUUCUCGAAUACUUGUCAACUUAGACAUACAUAAACCAAGUAAAUAAUAAUUUAAUUAUAAUAAAGAUACAUAUAUAGACAACUAUAUUAAAUCUUUAUGCUCAUUUCAAAUUACCUAAAAAGUACAAGUUUUAUAAAGUAAUUGUCAGAUCAGUUAUAUAUAUUGCAUGAGGCGGGUGUUGCUGGGUCAAAAAUUUGCAUGUCCAAAAGAUGAGAGUAGGGAAAAUAAGGAUAUUGAGAUGAAUGUGUAGGCAUAUUUGAAGGUAUACUAAUGAAAUAAAAAUGUUUGAGACAAAGUAGGAGUGACUUCCAUAGUGAACAAGAUGUGAGAAGUGUUAAGGUUUGCCUCGAAUUUUCUACCUUAUUUAAUUUGAAUUCUACUACAAUUGUGCCUUAAUCAAAAAAAGUCUUGUUGAAAAAGACUUCCAUGUUUGGUUAAUCCUGUCGAAGGAAUUUUUUUGAAUUUUUAUACAUUGAAGAUCAUUUCUUUCCAUAAUAACACAAUAACAUCCACAAUGUAAUAGUUUAAGAAGUAAUUAUUUUCUUUAUAGCUUUAGUAAUUUUUUUUAAUAGUAGUUUCUUAUAUGUAGGUCGCUUGGUUAAACAAUAUUAAUAUAUAAUGAUUGUUUUAGUAUAUUUUUUUUUUGUGGUCUAAUUUAUCACUGUCAUGAGUUGCAAUUAUCGACUUUCGUAUGACACCUUGAUUAUUUUGACCCAACAAGAGGCAAGACUGAGAUGGUUCGAGCAUUGAAGAGGAGAUGCGUAGAUGCCCCAGUGAAAAGGUGUGAGGGGUCGUUAUGGCGGUUAUGAGAAAAAGGUAGUUGUAAGGCAAAGCAAUAUUGAGGAGAGGUAAUUAGAUAGGACAUGACACACUUGUAGUUUAUCGAUGACAUGAUUUUAGAUAGGAGUUAACACCAACACAAUAACAUGGUGCUACAUUAACAAUCAAGAGUUCGAAGAAACUGUCAACACACUUAGGGUGCCUUUUAUGGUCAAACAUUAAGAGUAUACUUUUGCAACCAAGUUAUCUGAACAAGAGGUCAAACACAUGAUGUCCUCUGCAAUAAAUUGUUUAAAUUCAGAGAGAAAAGGCUAUAAAAAAUUGAGAUUAUGGUGAUCAUUGGGUGUGCUUUCGCUGUUGAUAAUUCACUAACUAGAACUCCUAAUUGAAUUUUAUUAGGAGGGUAUUAAACAUAUCAGUAUCUUGUACAUUUGCAGACAAGGUGCUCAAUCAAUUGUCACAGUGAUCAUUUGGACACAUUGUCCAUUCUGAUGUGAGAAUCUAGAAAAGCCUAGAAGUUGAAGAGAAAAAGAUUGAGGCAAAUUCAAUAUUCUAUCUCGCCGAAGUUUAUAAAUGCGAAUUUAGAUCAAGAAAUUGAAAAUUGUCCUUUUAGAUUCAUCCACGUGUUGUUGUCCUAGUACAGAAAAAUGUAUCUUUUCAUUUUGCAAUGUAACGAAUUCUGGUAUGAAUGACUAUGUAAUGUAUGUUUGGUUUCAAUUUGUUGAGAAGUUGGCUUUAAAAUUGUGAUAUUAUGUGUCGAUGGUUCAAAUAUGUUAUACAUUCUAAAGAUGAAAUUACGCAUUGGACAAUAUAAUCUAAAGAUGAAGUAUACAUUUCUUCGUUUGAUAUAAAAUAGAAUUGAAGAUAGUUUGGACAAAAUAUAUUUCAUGAUAAAUAUUUCAAUCAAUAAAAAGUCAAGUAUCUUGUAUUUAACCUUUAGCAAAAGAAUCAAAAGUAUAUCAGAUUUGCAGAAGAACAACACUAACAUUGCAGCAAAUUUGCAACAGAACUGCAUGAAAGCAGCACCAAAAAUGCGCCAAAACAGUACCAAAAGUUCUUCAAAUCAACACCAGAAUUGCACCAGAAAAGUAUCAAAAUAGCAUGGGAAAUGCACCAAAACAGCUAGACUAGAUUCACACUGCUACAACCCUAAAGUUGCACCAAAACAGCAGCAGAAAAGAUCCAAAACUGCACUAAAUUUACACCAAAAAGUAUCAAAAUAGCAUUGGAAUUACACCAAAAUAGCAGCAUCAGAAUCACCUCUAAAACAACAUUAGACUUGCACCAACAAAACCACCAGAAAAGCAUUGGAACUGCACCAAAAACUGCACGAUAAAAACACCAAAAACAGUCCCCGAAAUUGUAUCAAAACAGUAGCAUCAAAUUUGCACUAAAACAACACAGUGACAACUGUAUCAAUGUGCGCCAACUUCGUGAACUAUGGCACACUAGAUCCCAUUCCUGGUGCACCAUGUUGCGUUGCUAUGACGACCCUAAGCAAUAUAGCUAGCUCUACUAGCAUUUAGACUCAACAAUCCAUCUGCUACUGCCAUUGCCCACUUUGCCUGGUUUUUGUGGUGUUUUUCUUGGUUUCACAAUUGACUCUUAACACUAAUUGUGAAAACUAUCAUGAGUUUCUUACCACCUAAUACUUUGCAGUUUCUUUUUUGGAUCUAACCAUCCACUAUUAUAAUCUCUAGAUUCAGGACCAACAAUUGUGAGUGACAACUGACAAACCUAAAACUAUCAAAAGCAAGCCUAUUAUGCAAUGCCUUCACAGAGCGAAUAGCUUUUCAUGGUGUGGAAUUCCUCCUCUGUUCAGAUGUUCCCCGGUUUCUAUGAAGAUCAAAUUUGUUACUUGAUCUCCGGUGAGCAUAUUUAUUAUCAUCAGUCUCCGCCCUCCUAGGAGAUCGAGAGGUCCUCCUCUGUUCAGAUGUUCCCUGGUUUCUAUGAAGAUCAAAUUUGUUACUUGAUCUCCGGUGAGCAUAUUGAUUAUCAUUAGUCUCCACCCUCCUAGGAGAUCGAGAGGUUCUUUCGUUGGUUCUGUUGGAACUUCUUCCUGCCGAAGUCUUCAAUGAAUUUAUUGGAAGCUUUCUGUCCCCAUAUCUUGAUCGAGCAUCUUGCUCACUGUUAUUUUCUGCUCUCCAAGACGAUCUUCCUGAUGGCCUUUCCACAUCUCUAUUUUGAUUUCUCCCCAAGGAUGUCCUCGGAGAGGUAGCUGAAGUAUUCCUAUCAUAAUCUCUAGUCCUCGAGUUUAAUCUUCGGCUAGGCUUCCUAUCAUCAUCUCUUGUCAUCGAGUUUCUAUCAUCAACUCUUGUCAUCGAGUUUCUAUCAUCAACUCUUGUCCUCGAGUUUAAUCUUCGGCUAGGCUUCCUAUCAUCAUCUCUUGUCAUCGAGUUUCUAUCAUCAUCUCUUGUCAUCGAGUUUCUAUCAUCAACUCUUGUCCUCGAGUUUACUCUUUGGCUAUGCUUCACAUCUCUAGCCUCAUUGUCCGUCUCAUCAUCAUGGUAGUCAUUAUGCACAUCAUCAGAGUCCUCAUCAUAAUCUUCUUCUUCAUCAUCUUCAUUAUCAACAUCAGUUUCCUUUGCAUCACCUUCUUUCAGAUCAUGACUACCUUUUUUCUGCACUUCUUUCGAUUUUUUAUCCUCCGUAACCUUGUUCAUGAGAUAAACAUACUUAGACCUCAGUUCUAUCAACGAGUUCUUCUGAAUUAACAUUCCCCUUUUAUAGCCCUCCUUCAAUACCACAGUAUGUGUGUCGAUCUUACUUGACACAUAGAAUAUCCCAGGAUGCAACAACAAUGCCCUCUUAAACCUAGAACGAAGUCCCAAAUACUCUCCUAUCAAAAGCAAAUUAUCUUUCUCCGCCUUCUUCCCAACACAAAGACUAAGAAUUUCAUGCAAAAUUAUCACUGCCCACUUAUCAGCUUCAUCACUCUUUUCAGGAAGAUUCUUUACAUUCACAUAUGGCGAAAUAUAAGGCAAUUUUUUCCAUUCAUCAACCCAUUUCUUAUACUUCUUAUCCAUCUCAAACCCAUUCGAAUACUUCAAAUCAAACUUAACUAACAAAUCCUCACUUUCACAUUUCACUGCUUGUUUUUCCAAAAAGGAAACAGCAAGUUCAUGAUUCCAACAAACUAACUCCAACAUUGACUCAUUAUUCACCUGAAAAUAAUCCGGAUAUUCUGGUACUAUAGUUUCCACAAAAUUAUUACACAAACCCAAAUCCCAUUUAAGCUUAUCAAUAACAUGUAAAGGAAUUUUAUUAAUUUUACCUAUCAUCAAAAUCUUCAAAAGCCUAUCUGCAACAUCUUCUUUGUAACUCACACUUUGAUAGAACAACUCUUCAUCUGAGUCAAUACUGAGAAUUUCUGGGGUUAACUUGAUAUGGGGAUGUAUGUUUAUGCUAGCAGGGAAAAAUUCUUGAAAAAUUGAAGGAUAUUUUCGGAUAAACUCAAUGGGGCGAAAUGGGAUUUGUAGAGUAUCUUUAGAUUGUGUGAUGAUGUUUAAGGGAAUAGAUUUCGAUGGUUCAGAUUUGAUAAGAUUCUUGAUGUUGAGAAGUGGUUUGAGAUUCUUUUCUCUUUCGACAGCGUGGUCCAAUCCACGAUCUCUUACAUGUUUGAUGGAAAGGGCAUCGUCGAACAGUGUCCGCCAUUGUUGACGCUGGUGGUGGUGAGUUCGACGGAGGAGGAAAUGCAUGUACAUAAUUUGGAGACUGCUACUGCUGCUGCUGUUUGCAAGGGUUUAAGGAGAGCUUCUCAUUACUUGGGGUUUGUGGGGGUAUUUUGGAGAAUUGGGCAGUUAUCUAUCUAUCUAUCUAUAUAUAUAUAUAUAAUAGGGGAGGAAAAUCAGCAUAGUGUCAGCGUCACAAUUAAUCUUCAAAUUUCAGUAUUUAAAAAAUCAAAUUUAUAAAAGAAAUAUGAUUAUUUAUUUUAAAAAAUUACAUGUCAGCAAUGAAGAAAUAACAUAUCUUUAUAUUAUUUAAUAUUUGAUUUUAAAAUAUUAAAAAUAAUUAUCUUUCUAAUAAUUUAUUUUCUAAUUUAACUACUUCAAAUUUAAAUUUUGAAUUCAAAUAUUAAAAUGUAUUAAUCAUGUGAUUAUAUAUUAGCAGGAGACGUGGAGUGGAUGGAAUAAGGAAAAAAACAAAUUACAUAGAUUGUAUUACUUUUAAGAUAUUUGAUUUCAAUAUAUUAGGAGAUAAAAAUAAAAAUUUAAUAUUCAUACAGGUUCUGAAUCGUGAUUUAAACAUUUUUUUUAAAAGGCAAAAUAACAAGAAGAGAAAAACAUUUAUAAUAUACAAAUUACUAAAAUUUCAAUAUUGAUUGCCAAAAAAAUGAAAUAACAAAUAUGAAGUUUUAGAAAAAAUGAAAACAAAUUAUAUCCACUAUUACACAUUGAAAACUUAAUUAAUUUUAAAAAAAUAAAGAUCUAAAAUUUAACUUUUAGAAAUAAAUUUUCUUUAACAUUCACAUUUAAAUAUCAUGUAAUAUUCAUACUCAAUGAUCGAUUAUUAAAUUAUGCUAAUUUACUAUAAUUAUGUUGUAAAUUAAGAUAAAAAUAUUUAUUAAUACAUUAUAAUAUAGUGAUAAAGGCAUACAAAACGUGUAUCGCACUAUUACAUAUCAUUUUAUUAAUAUAAUUAUAUUUAAUAUACUCAAACAAAUAAAUAUAAUAAAUUAUCAUAAAUAAAUUUUUUAAUAUUUACGCAUACUAGUUUGAUUUAAUAUAAAAAAACAUUUGGUUCGUGCAAAACAUGUGUCAGUUAUGUUAGGGUAAAAUCAGCAAAGUAGAUAUACCCAAUUGUGAGUCUCUUCCUCUAGAUUUCUCUGAUUUAACAACAAAAUCAGCCCUUCUCCUCUUAGUCUGCUAUUGGUAUUAUUUGGACGUAAUCUUGGAGUUUUCUUCUCAAGGUAAAAUUUUGUUGUUAUAACUGUAAAUUGUUUUGUGGAAUGUUUGAUUUUACCCGAUAUUGUGUUUUUCCAAAUUCUGAAUUUGAAUUGUAUGUUUCCAUCUCGUUUUUUUGUUGUUGAUGUCGUGCUCUUGAGUAUGUUAGUGGGAAGCAUAUGUCUUAGAGCUUUUGCAGGGGCGGGGGUACAAUUUUAUUUUAUUUUUAAAAAAAAAUGCAGGAUGCGGUGGGUACGCUGGUUGGGUUCUGGUGAGGAAGUGAAUAAAGGUGGUGCUAUAUGUCUGCCCAGGUUAUUUUAAUUUCCGAUCAAAUGAUUUCUGUUUGUUAGAGCUCAGCAUUUUCUGUAAUGUGAAUUUGUUAAUUGGUAACACUUUUUGUUAUUGAAUUUGCAAGGUUACAUUCUUGUUCAUGCUUUACUACUGUAAAAUUAGCCUCAAACCAAAUUGUUGUUUAUAAUAAUUAAUGAAUCACAAUAUGAUUUGAAACUUAUAUAGGCCAACGUUAUUUUUGAUUCUGACCAAGAGUGUUAUUGUAAACAAAAUGUUUAUCUUAUUACAUAUGUUCUACCUGUGUUUACCUAUUAAAUAUCAACAAAAGUUUCUUAAUUUUACAUUUAUAUCUUCAACUGUAUGUCUAUCAUGAAGAAUUGAUGCUGUUAGAAGCAGAAAUCGUCUGAGGUUUAUGCGGGGCAGGUUCAUCCGAGGCGGAGUAGGGCGGGGUAAAGUCUUGGCGGAUUUAUGCAGAUCUGCCCCGCACCACCCCAUUUGCCAUCCCUGCUGCUAGAUUUUUGAAAUAUGUUUAUACAAUAUAUAUGGAAGAUCCAUUAUGAUUCUCCAGUUCAAUAAUAUAACGUCUAUCGUGAGAAAUCUGCCUUGUAAUAAAUUAGUAAAUUAUUUAACAUUGGGAGUUUAUUAUGCAGCCACAAAACACAUUUGUGUUAAAAGAAAGGACUCCAAAUUUCCCUCAGUACUGCUCAUCGCUCAUCAAACCUGCUGGUCUAUUGGUUUGGCUCUUUUCAACUGCUGUUUAUAUUAAAAAACACAUUCUUAGAGUGUUCUUCUCAUCAAGGUAAGGUUUUAUUUUUGUACAUGUAUUAAUGAAUUUGGUUCUAUGGUGCAUCUUAUAUCUUUGUUGUUCUCUUUUUCUUCUUUGAGCGUUGUUGUUGUUGGUAUAACUAACUAAUCGAGUAUUCAGGGAGGUUCAUGGUUCACGUAUGAGUAUUAUUUAUCUGCUUAGUAGUUUCCAUUAAACUUUUUUCCGAAGGAGUUUUUUUCUAUAACUUAAGCAAGGUGAGUGGUCCUUCUAAAAAGUUAAAUUUGGACGGGCUGCUGAACCAUUUUUUUAAUAAAACAAAACCAAAUCCACAUUACAAAAUACAAAAUGGAAUCACAACUUUCCAAAAAAGAAAUCUAAAGAGUCUAAAACUAAAACUGGGUAAGUGGACAUGGAAGCUCGCUGGAGCUCCUCAAUCUGCUGGAACCCAUGUCUUUGUACAUGUGUGCCUUUAUUUUUGUGUAUCAUAGCUCAAGGGCAUUCUAAUCAGCCACUGUCAUACGAUCAACUAUCUUGGUAGAUUGUACGAGAUAAUGGUGUUAAUGUGCUAAUCUUCUUUCUCGUUUUAGCUAGUACCAUAUAGCAGAAUUCUAAGGUCCUCUCCGAGUACUAUGAUCUUGAUGCCAAAUAGAGUCUAUCUCGAGGAUUAUUCAAUGGUUAAAAUUUCUCAAACAUUUGCUCCCACUCUCUCAGAAGUAGUUGACAAUAAGAUGUGGUAAAUAAAUUUCAGCUAGAUCUCUUAUCUGGACUCUAUGAAUUUUGUGUCAUAGCCAGAUGUUGUUAGUUACAUGUUUCUGGUGUCCAGGUGCGUACGUACUUCCAUAUGUUAAAAACAUUCAAUAGAAUGAGCAAAGCUAGUACCACACAAAGAAACUCUUUUCGGUAUAUAAAGUUUAAUGCAAUAACCCAUAUGUCGUCCUUCAACCUGGUUCUCUUCUUUGAAUAGUCCUGAUUCUAAGAUUUGGGGGACUUUGACUUGUCAAGAUUUUGUUUCUCCUUCCUGCACUAGGCUGUUCGGAGAUGGAGUUUAAAUUGAAUUUCACCUGUUAAAUUAAAAACCAUGUUAACUUCUGGGAAUUUUUUCAAAUUCCACCAUAUUGAGUGCAAUCACCCCAUAGAAUACCAAAAUGUCAAAAAUGAAGAUAAAUAUAUAACUUUUGAAUAAAUGUACUGGUCAAUAUAUUUGUACUACAACAGUCAUCGGAUGAAGAUUUGUGCUUUAACUAUCUGAUACAUGAGUAACCAAAAAAUAUUAAGAGUUUAUUUACGAGUUAGUGUGUACAUGGAGUCAGCUUUUGACAAUUUUGUCAUAUUAUUCUAACUAAAGAUGCUCCCAACUGAAUAAACUCUCUUCUGAGUAUUGAACUGUAGCUACGCUUGCAAACAUUAUUCUGAUUGCUUCACUAAGGUUAAUAUGGUACUACAUGGGAUAUUUAAUUGAGAUACGGAAUCUGAUUUGUUUUCUUAAGAAAUGUCGAGCUUAAAUAUAAUAUGAUCUUAUGUGACUUCUAGUUUGAUCCGUAAACAUUGUGUGUGACUGUCAAUUUCAUAUGAACCAUAAAUGCAUUUUUUGGCCUACUUGAGUUACUUCAAACUAUUUGAGGCAGGUUUUGAUAUAAUUUGAAUCAUAUGUGAGUUCUUAGAGAAUGUUUUGGUUAUGACAUGUGAAAUAGGGUUGUAUGUUAUCACCUAGAGCCAUAUGUUGAAUACUAAUGCUAACUUGCAUCACCUAUGUGCCAUGAAUCAAGUGUGGAAUAAGCUCGGUUAACUAUGUGAACAUAGACAUAAACAAAUAUGUUUGCUGCUAGUUGGAAUGUGAACUGAGUGCCUUCAUUUAAGUGCUCGGUGAUGCUGACGCUCAAUUGUUAUGUCUCUUGCGACAGCUUUUGUGAAAUGAAUCUAAUAUGUGGUGUUUCAAGGCUGUUGAUUGUGGCAUUGUGAAGUGCUCCUAAAAGGCUUAUCAACUCCUCCAUCUCCCAGUCUUGUAUGUUUCUUCUGAGGUUGGGGUUCGUUGAGUUCCAUCCCUGUGUUGGUGUAUUUUAGCGCCUGGUUGAUUUGCAAUCUGGAAUAUCUCAGGGUAGGCAACCUCUAGAAGGGUGUUACCUGACCACUUAUCUCUACAGAAACAGAUGUGUUGGCCAUUCCCCACAACCAGGUCUUUGUGUUGUGAGAACAUCUCUCAUAGCUUGCUUAUGCUUUUCCAGCUGCCAACCCUAUAUGGUUCAGUUGAGACUUUAGAGAACCAGUGACUCGGUGCUCCAUGUUUGUCAAUAAUGACUUCCUUUCAUAGGCACUGAUCCAGCUGAGUGUAUCUCCAUAGCCACUUCAUUAGUAUCUCCAAGAAAGUUCACCUACAUUUCUUCAAUAAUUCAAAAGAAUAGAGCUCCUGCCACAAUUUAAGCUGAAACUCCAAGGACCAGAGGGAAGUUUGUAAAUUUAGGCUCCUAUCCUAGUUCAGCACGAGUCGAGGAAUUAAUGACUACUGUAGCAUGAUCAUCCAAACCAAUUGCUAAAGGAUUUCGAAAGAAGUCAGUUACUAGUAAAACCCUCUUAACUUUUUCUCAAACUUCCCACUUUUAUUGACCAAGUCCAACCUAAACAUUACCUGAUUUUGCUGGGUUUAUUUCUUAAGAGGAUGCAUCUCUUUGCUUUGGUGAUUUGUCCUAUUAUCAAAUGAUUUCUAGUUUGAUAUUCAUGUGUUGGCCUGUUGUUCAGAUGACUUAGUUGCAGAAGUGUACUCUUAAUGUUUGAACGUAAAAGGCACCCUAGACGUGUGCACCCUAGACGUGUUCACAGUUUCUUCAAACUCUUGAUUGUUAACUUAGCACCAUGUUAUUGUGUUGGUGAUUGAGCAAAUUAUAUUUUAUCUUUAUUACAUUCUUACCUGCCUUCUAUUUGUCGGAUUCUUUUGUCCUUUGUACGCUACAAUUUGUUAUUUCCUGUGAAGUUUAUAUCUGAUGGACUUUUAAUUUAUAUACGGAUAUGUUGUGAUUGUUGUGUUUGGAAAUGGAGUGCUAACUUUUCUGCUUAAUCUCAUUCUUAUCAGUUAAAUCAAUGUCAAUUUUGGAUGCAUGACCUUUUGCAUCUCCUCUCUUGAUUAGUUGAGCAUAAGAUUAUACUGAACUUUUAGCUUGUAAUUCUUUUCACUUAUAGUUUGUGGGCUGGGAAAGUAGUUUCUUCACUCUCGUUCAGCUUAUUCUAGCUCAGUAUGGCCAUAAAGUUUAGGUUGUAACUUGAUCAUGAGCGAAUCUGUUGAUGUUUCCCCAUUGUAAAGGUUAGAAUGUCUUUCUGUUUUCUGUAGUACCACUGCAGUCAAUAAAAGCAUUGAUAUAUACACAAUGAAUAUGUCAUUUUGUGAAUGACAUUCCACUCAUUCGUAAAGAAGAAGCAUGUAAUCUUGUUGUGGUCUUUAAUGUAUAUAUAUUCAAAGAAACUCCAUUAGUGUGAAAUUAGAAAUUUUGUGAAGAGAGUGUAGAAGUUUUUUUCCGAUUGUGUUAAGGGCGAGUAAAAUUAAAUAUACAUUUAUAAUAUCAAAUAUUUAACCUGUGUAUGCUACCUAAUUUUUCAACAAAGGGUGUACACCGGACUAUCCUUCACCUAAGGUGGCUCCGCCAAUGAGUACUAAUUAAAUCAUGAUUUAAAUACCUCCUAGACCCAAAUCCUCAAAUAAAAUACGCCAUCCUCCUGUUUUUUUUUCCACUUCUUGACAACCAAUAAAAAAAAAGGCUAAUUUUAUUAUAUUACUUUGACUUAUUAUAAGUUAUCUCACUCAUUGAAAAGUAAAUUGAAAAUGAUUAGUACUAGUACUUAAUAAUAAGAGUAAAAUAGAUAUAAAACAAUAAAAUAUUUUUUGGUUUUUAAACUUGACAAAUAAAUAUGAAAUUCUGUUGCUAUGAUGACUAUUUGGUUUACGAUUUUUAGCUUUGAUAUUGUCUUCAAGUUGAUUGCACAACUCCAAUUCAUUUAAAAGCUUUGUUUUUUUGUGAGGGAUGAUAUUAUGCAAUUAUAUCACAGUAAAAUGAACCAUUUUAUUAUAAAGUUUUGCAAUUUGCAUAAGAGUGAGAUGUACCAUUUAUCUAUGAGUGAAGUGAACCAUAACUCCGUCAUCUUUCUAACUUUUGGUUCUUUGACACUUGAUCAUCUUAUCCUCUUUAACUUUUAAUAUUGCUGCAGGUAGCUGCUCUAUCUUGUUCUGGUUGAAUAACUUUGAUAAAAACUACUAGCAAAUAGCCAAAUAUGAUUGACACAUGCUGUUUUGGGGUUAAACGUGUUUUUAUAUUUUUGGCUGAUAGGGGUGGCUUUUUCAUUCCCUCUUUAAUGAAUGCUCUUUCAAGUUAUUCUUGAUGGGGUUACAGCUAACUCAGUUAUAACUCCUCUUUUCCGGAAACUUGUUUUAUACCUGGUGACUUCUUUUAUGAACUGUCCAGCUGCUCCUAGGCAUGACCUCCUGUCCACACAAAAGGGUUGCACCAUUGCUACAUACACCCGGUCAGCAACUCCAAAGAAGGAGUGUUGAGGUUUAUUGACUUUUGUCUUUGAUUAGUAAUUGUCCAGGCCAAAAGCCAAUCAAGUGAAUAUAGUGCAGUUUAAGUAAAUGUUUUAUUCUUUGUUCUGGGUUAAAGAUUUCUUAGAGGAUGGAUCUCUUUGCAUUGGUGAUUUGUCCUAUUGUCAGAUGAUUUCUAGUUUAAUAUUAUGUGUUGACCUCUUGUUCAGAUAACUUGGUUGCAAAAGUAUACUCAAUGUUUGAACAUAAAAGGCAUCCUAAAUGUGUUGGCAGUUUCUUCGAACUCUUGAUUGUUAAUGUGGCACCAUGUUAUUGUGUUGGUGAUUGGACGAAUUAUAUUCAACCUUUAUCAUAUUUUUACUUGCCUUCUGUUUGUCAUAUUCUUUUUUGUCCUUUGUACGCUACAGUUAGUUAUUUCCUGUCAAGUAAAACAUCUGAUGGACUUUUAGUUAUAUCCGGAUAUGUUGUGAUUGAUGUGUUUGGAAACGGAGUGCUUACUUUUCUGCUUAAUCUCAUUCUUAUCAGUUAAAUCAAUGUCAAUUUUGGAUGCAUGACCUUUUGCAUCCCCUCACUUGAAUAGUUGGGCAUAAGAUUUUACUGAACUUUUAGCUUGUAAUUCUUUUCACUUACGGCUCGUUUGGUGUGAGGGAUAAGCAUAAAUAGUCUUGGGAUAAAAAAAUAGUCCUAGGAUAAAAUUUAGAUGUCUUGUUUGGUUGACAUGUUUGGGAUAACUUAUCCCACCAUUUAUAGCAUAGUGAUGGGAUAAGUUAUCCAAUAUACAUGGUGGGAUAAGUUAUCUCAGGAUAACUAACCCCAGGAUAGUUUAUCCUGGGAUAAUUAGUUCCCAACCAAACGACCCCUUAUAGUUUGUGGGUUGGGAAAGUAGUUGCUUCACUCUCGUUCAGCUUAUUCUAGCUUAGUAUGGCCAUAAAGUUUAGGUUGUAACUUGAUCAUGAGCGAAUCUGUUGAUGUUUCCCCAUUGUAAGGCUGACGCCCUACACGUCAUGGAAAAAUCGUGCUUUUUAUCUAUAGUUAUUAGCAUCCCAUGAAGUAUGGAAAUAAUGACUCUUCUUUCCAGCACUUUCAGAUUGAUAAUCUUGCUGCAACAAGGCAGGCUUAGGAUGUUUAGGUCUCUCUUAGCUUGGAGGUGUAUGGUAGAUGUUCACCAUAUAUAGUUGUAUACUUUUUUUGUUGAGAUAAGGGCAACUUUAUAGUUGUAUACUUUUUUCUGACCAUUGUAUAAACAUACUGAGAGAGAGAGUGUAAUGUGGUGGUUUAUUUUAGCAGCACAUUUUAAGCUUGUCUGCUAACCUUCUAGCAAAUUGAUGAUGAAGCUGAAAGGACAGCUCUAAUCUUAUUUUGUGUAACAACAAUACUCGAUGUAAUCCCACAAGUGAGGUCUGGGAGGGUAGUGUGUAUACAGACCUUACCCUGUUCCGAUAUACCCUCAAGCUCAAAUGAAUUAGAUAAGUUGUUCUUGAGCAAUGAGCAUCAUGCAUAGGCAAAAGGGAACGAAGAGGCAAAGCCUCCAUCUUCCACAUAUCUUGCUCAUCCGACUAUCAUGAAUCACCAAACCUGCAUUCCGGCAUCCAAGUCAUAAACUUUAUGCUUCUAAAGUCCUCUAGUUAUGCCAUUUCCCUAACAAGUAAAUAUCAUCUCACCUGACCAGUUAAACCCACCCAUCCACUUAAGAAAGACAAAAAAACCAAGAAGUCGGACCUUGUUUCGAGUUCAUUGACGUGGUCCACCUUGUCUAUUAUGCUUAAUUAUGUACAUAAGAGGCUAUAUACUUCAGAUUAUGAAGCCUUUUGCAUCAACUUUGAGUUUCUUGUAGCUGAAAGGAGGAGGAUUUGGAAAGGCACUCAAAUAGAGACAAAGGGAUCAACAUUGUCCUUUAUAUUUGAGUUAAGACUGGGGUCUGAGAUAUCACUAGAGAAAUAAACUCAAAGAAUUCAAACAAAGUGCUAUUUCAAAUCAUUUAGCUUUUAUAAGUAUACAAAUAUGAGGUAUCACAAAACAUAGACCAAAUGGCAUUGAAACUUUUAGUAAUUAGCAUAAUGAUGCAAUCCUAAUCCGCUCAUCCCCACAAGCUAGGAUUCAUUUUUAGAAUCAAAUAUUUGAGCCAUUUCGAACACAUUUUGGAGAAAAAGCUCAAAGAGGUAAUAAAUCUCUACAUACCUCAAUACUCUUCCCAAAUUUAAUUUCAACAUCCCAAAGCCACUAACGAUAAAUCCAAUUUGUAUCAAGAGUAGUUCAUUUAAACUCAACAUAGUCUAUUUAGGGCUUAAACUUUGACUACCAAGCCCAAAAUAAAACUGAAGGUGCUUAAUCACCCUAUUAAAUCCAUCUAUCCUUGGCAUUCAAUAGUCUAUUGGAGUCAUUUAUAACCCAACAUGUAUUUAAAUAGACAUGGAAAGCAGAUGUAGUGUGUCUCCGGGAAACAAAGCUAACGGGGGAUAUUACAAAGAUAUUGAAGGAAGUUUGGACAGACCAGUUGCGCAAGAUACUCAUUUAUUUGUGGAGGACUAAGUGGGUAAGGCCAGGGAACAUAAAAGGAGGAUUGCUAAACUGUUGAAGCAAGGAUGACAAUGCAACCAAAAAGGAAGGAAGAUGGAAGAUUGUCCCUGCAUGCAUUUUGUGGACAAUGUAGAAAGAAAGGAAUAGGAAAUGUUUUGAAGACAAGCAGAGCAACUUGCUGGAGUUUAAAAUGAAUUGCUUAGCUCUGUUUUAUUUUUGGUGUAAACAGAAAUUAACAGCUCAAACAGAAGAUAUUUUUGACAUUUGAGACUAUUCAAGGAACAACAGAUUGAUGCUCAAGUUGUAAGUUGUAAUACUUUUGAAGGGGGACUACAUAUUUUGAUGUAGUAUACCUGUGGAUAUAUAGAUUAAUUGUUGCCAUUCUAAAAAAAAAUAGACAAGGUCACUACUUAGUGUCUUCCCCAAUUACCAACAUUAAUGGCAACCUAGGGUUUCAUUUAAUACCUUUAUCCUACCACUUUCUACACGUAUAAAUAGCAUUUAAACACUUACUUUGUAUUCAUUAAAUAAGUUUCAAGUGGUAGCAAUUACCUUUGGUUGCAAAACCUACUCAAUUUCCCUUUUGAGUUCUUGAAUUAUUGAAUGGUAUUAGCGUUAAUCUACUUUAUUUAACACAAAAUAUGGUGACAAUCUCACCUUGGAUAUCCUAAGUUAAACCUUCCCUCUAGUUCUCCCAACACAUAGCCAAAUAUUGAAAUUUGAAAAUGGCAAAAAACUCAUGAUCUAGGGUAUAUAUAGAGACUGAGCCUCUCGCAGUUGGACUCGGAUGUGAGCCCAUCGCCGAGUCUUUUCCUUUGUCUAUCAGGUUUUUUUCCGGUGCAAACUUAUCGGGUGAAGCUUGUCCUGGCUUAGCUUCUCUUGCAACGAGCGUGUCUUGGAGCAUAAAACCACUGUGGCUUGCCUCAAUCUCCCUCCCAAGCCUUGUCAUGGCUCUUUGGGCACGAACCUACUUGGGAGUGGAACCUUGUUCCAUUUUCCAACUUCGACGAUUUUAGCCAUUUAUGCUAUGUUCAUACACUUUCCACACACGUGUAAAUAUUUGCAUACCUUUCCACGGUAUUAUUCUCAUUCAUGGGUCUAGUUAGAGACCUCCAAACAAACUUAAAAGCAUUAUGAAAUUAUUCAGAAUCAGGCAUCAACGUUAUCAAAGGUGAAAUGCGCCGAAAAGCUCUAAAUUUGGGAUCCCAGCCUUUAGUGUUGAAGAUUAAUACACAAAACUGUUACCUUUGUCAAAAAAAAAAAAAGCUCUAAGGUUUGUUGGGGAUUUAAGCGCAAAUAAAGUGUGGGAUUUAACAAAAAGGCACAAAGGGAAAAAAUACAAAUAUAUAUGUUUAGUCUAAGCCUAAUAAUUAUAAACAUGAAUAACAAAUAUAUGACCAAAGAAAUUGAUUUUUUUUUUGAUAAAGUGAAAUUUCAAUUGUUUAGUGUCUUCUCUUCAAAAAGGGCUUGUUGGCAAGGAAAGUAUGUCUUAAAACCUUGAUGACGACACUGAAGUGCACAUAAAGCGAGCCGAGGCGCUCAACAUAUUUUGAGCCUCUCUUCAGGGCUUAAGCGCGCCUUUGACAAAACUGUUUAGAAUGCUACCCAAAAGAAGGCUUUAUAGAACUUUUUCCGUAUUUUUCCCUUGGCAAUGAGGGAAAGGUGUAGAAUGGACUAUAGGUGAUAGUAAAGCAAUUAGCUUGCAGUAGUUGUGUUAACUGGUUUAAUUUGUUGUUUUCUGUUCAAUCAUAGCGUAGAAGUUUUGGUGGUGACAACCAGGGAAAUCUCAACCAGGUGUAGGGAGUUUGUAUGAAUCCGGAGCCAAAAAGGCAAGAAAAUUAGCCAAAGAUUCUAAAAGGGCAACAAAAUUGAGUUGAUAACCAAAAUGGCAACAUUUAAACGGUCUAACAAACACCGUCUAAAUUAGGGAAAAGGAGUAAGGUGCGAAGUACGAUACGCCUUAUAGGGCGCAAGGCUCCUGCGCCUCUUUCCUUUUUUUUCUUUUUUUUAGUUCAUGUUUAAUGUUUUGUUUUUAGUUAGUUUUUUCUCUCUUUUUUUUUUUUACUUUUAAUUUUUGUUUUUUAUUUUGAAGUUGUUCCUAUUUAUUUUGCAUGUGAUUUUUAUUUUUAUUUUAGCAAAUUAUUCAAAAUAAAAAACAAAAAUUCAAAGGAAAAACAAAAAAAAUAAAAUUUAUAGUAAGAUUUUAAAAUAAAUAGCAAGAUUGAGGCGCAGGAGCCUUGCGCCUUGUAAGGUUGCGCAGCCAUGCGCCUUGCAAGGCGCAUCGUACUUUGCGCCUUGCAAGGCGCAUCGUAUUUCGCGCCUUGCUCCUUUUUUCGUAAUUUAAACGGUGUUUGUUAGACUGUCUAAAUGUUGCCCUUUUGGUUCUCCACUCAAUUUUGUUGCCCUUUUGGAAUUUUUGGCUAAUUUUCUUGCCCUUUUGGCUCCGGACUCGAGUUUGUACUGAUCCGCUAUGUUGCUUGGACUCUCCAAAAAUGGUGUUGCACCCGUUUCCGGACUUCCAAAAGUGCAGUACUUUUGGAGGAUUCAACAUGCAUCCGGCAACAUUUUUGAAAAGUCCGAGAAACAUAGCUAAUCAAUUCAUUCUUUUUCAUGUAUUUGGCUGUAGAUGCUUACAUACUCCUUAUUCUGUAUACUUUCAGGUUUAGUGAACCAUAGUUUUCGAUCCUUCUGUUUUUAGUUUUUUUUACAAUAAUGAAUAAACUGACAUGGUUUUAGACGUAGACUUCAUGAGUAAUGAGUAGUUUUAAAGCUUACCCUCUUUCAGAAUCUUUUCCUUUUCUGACCACCCAUUUAAUAUUAGGAACUAUUUUGUCUGGGUGAUAUAAAUCUGGUUAUGAGGAUGAGAGCUCAUUACUUGAUUGCUUUAAUGAUACUCCUUAAUCACUGUUUACUUUGUGCUUCACAAAAUUAAUUUUUUUUCAUGCAACUACCUAAGAAAAUGAUUUAACACCUGUUGAUUAAUUUAAGUGACAGAUCAAGAAUGAUGUUAGGUUUUACAGAGACUAGCAUCUGUGAGUUUUUUCUCCAUUGUUGUUGUAUGUGUUUUGAUCUUUUUCUUUUUCGUUUGUGUAGGAGAUACCAUUGCAAUUUUAAGGGCAGAGUUGAAAAGUCAAAGGAAACAUGUCAAAAAUUUUAAAAAGAAAUCCCUCUGGUCCAAGAUAUUAGAAGAGGUAGCAAGUCAGUGCUGCUUUAUAUAUCUCUUUAAUUCUUGAAUUUAAAUAAUCGUAAUUUGAUUACUAUUUCUUAGUGCACCCGUUAAUGAUACAUAUUCUUAGCAUGAUAAGGUUAGACUGUUCUAGAUUUAUUAAUCAAAUUUCUUUGAAUAUUAUACCAACUGGUUUACUCGUUACUGAAGGUAACAGAGAAGCUUGUGGACAUUGUGCAUUUCCUUCAUUUGGAAAUCCAUGCUGCAUUUGGCUGUGCUGGUAUGCAUUUGAACCUUCAAUUUAACUUCUCUUAUGGUGAUUUUUUACUGUCAUGUAGGGGCUGGUUGGAGGAGUGAUUGUUCUUAAUUUGAUAUUUCUGUUACUUUCUUAACUAAUGCUUGCAUUCAAGUUUUUGUUCUGUAUCUUCAGAGAUCCUUCCUUUUUUUUUAUUGAACUUUUAUGUUGAAUUGUUAAAAAACAUGAAAAAACUAGCUCACCAACCAUUCAAUUUUCCAUGACUAUUGCAUGGAGAGUCUAUACUCUAACUUGCAACACUCACAGGAAAGACAACGUUAAGUCGAGUUACAGUGAGGUAGUUUAACUUACCAACCAACCAACCACCUAUAUCUUGCAGGAUCACUAAGGAGCUACCCCUAUCUUUGUAGAAGGUUAACAUUUGGAUCCAUAGGAGUGUCUAUAACCUAUCAUUCCUGUCUCCUAAGUAUAUCUAGAACAUGUCAUUCCUGUCUCCUCAAGUAUCUCUAGAGCAUACUUCCGUUGUGAAAUAGUAAUACCAGAUAUAGAAUAAGCGACCUCAAUACCAAGAAAAUAUUGUAAUUCCUUAGAUCAUUAGUCUGAAAGUGCUAAUAGAGAUUCUGCUUCAAAUUUGGUGAUACAAUAUUGUUCAUUGCAUGUGAUGACUAUAUUGUCAACAUAAACCACCAAGUAAAUGCAAAAAUUCGGGUCAGAAUGCUGGUAUAAGACAAAAUGGUCAGCUUUAUUGUAAGUUAUUCCAAACUCCUGAAUAACUAUGCAAAACUUACUACACCAGGCUCGAGGAAACUGUUUCAGACCAUAGAGUCACCGCAAACUUCAUAAAUAUUUGUCUAAUCUUGACUUUGAUGUAACAUCCUCUUAACUUAUUCUUGUGAAUUCAGUUUCAUUGUAAGUUAUGCCAAACUCCUGAAUCACUAUGCCAGGCUCGAGGAAACUCUUUCAGAUCGUAGAGUGACCGUAAACUUACCAAAUAUUUGUCUAAUCUUGACUUUAUUGUAACAUCCUAUCAAGCUGUCUGUUGAAAACAAAUGGUUUCCUGUUGUUGAAGCAUGUCUAGUGGUCAGGGGAGAUUCCUUGAUCUUGGAUGAAUUUUUGAGUAAUCUGUUACUAGUUAUUCGAACAACAGAACUAGAGUUCGCAGAUUAUGCUUAUUGCUCAAUACUUGUCUAUGAUGUUACAGUUAAUCUGAUUGUACAACUCAUGGCUGUUUCAAUGGUCCCAUUUGAAAUGGUAUGUUUGGAAUCAUUUUGGGGGACAGAAACUCAUGAGAGACACUUGCGAACUUCUUUUGUUGAAUCAUCAUCAUCUUAAAUUUCUGUUUUGAUUUUGCACAAUGUAUCAAGUUAAUUGUAAUCUUGACUAGACUGCACAUGGUUUAGUGACUAGACUGGAAAGUUUGUGGUUUCAUGAUUGCCAUAGUGUUGCUGAUCCUUGCAGAUGGAGAGAAAUCUAUGAAAAACAACAACCAGAGGUUGGGAUCUGCUGGUCUUGCAUUGCAUUAUGCGAAUAUCAUCACUCAGAUUGAUACACUUGUAGCAUCUCAUGCUUGUUUUUAAAAAAUCAACUAUCAUCUUCAGUAGUCUUGCUCCAAGUAUUUUUCCCUUACUUCCAUCUAACCCACUUUUGGUCUCUAUUAGUAGUGUGAUGUUGUGGAAUAUGGGACGAAAUUUCUUUUCUUUCUCCAGUAAGCUAAAACACCUUUUUGGUGAUCAUAUCAACAAUCCUCAUCCUUUAUGUUUGUGUGCUCUCAUUUAAUCAUCAUCUUUGAUCCCAAAUUAUAUGCUCUAAAUUGUUCUUCAAAGACUCCCCCGAAAUAUGUGGAACUCAUCAAUUCGCUAUUGAAUUUGUGAAUUUCAAACCUUUGCUUGAGGCUGAAGUUGAUUUCUGCUAAGUUCUAAUAUUUGCAGACAUACUAAUGUGCAAUUGAGCCUUUUUUUUUUUUAAAAAAAAAAUCCUUUUUAUUAGUGAUCCAUUUUAAAAUUGCCUCUUAACUUUACUCGAACUCCUUCAGUUUGUAACCUAGUUGCUUUUUCAUCUUUAUUCUGUUGUUACACUUUGGGACAUGUACAAAUGCACUUAUUUCACUUGCUCGAGCCUCAUUUUGAUUCCUUUGAUGAUAAGAGGUGGACCCAUGUGGAAGGGUGGGGGUGCUCGUGCACCUGUUAGCUUCGAAAAAAUUAUGUAUAUAUAUGUAUAUAUACCUAGCGAAAUAGUAUAUAUAUUUAAUUUGCAUACUAACAUGCAAAAGAAGGCUCAUGGCAUGUUGGUUGCAUCCUACUUCCCUUACCUGUGACCCUGGAUCGAAUCUCAACUCUCACUUUUAAUUGUUUUUAAAAAAAUAAAUUAAAUGGCUUAUAAUAGCCAUGGAAAACAGUAUUCGCAAAUGGGAGAGUUGAGAAUCGAACCUGCAACAGUUCCUGAAGUUUCUCUUCGAAGUAUAUACUCCUAAAAACUCUGUGGAAGUUUAUACAAAAGAUUUUUAGGAUAAUAACAGAACAAAGUAUUUGGUUUGUGGAACUGAUGAAGGCAUAUAGCUGAUUAGCUGACAACAAGAGCUAGUUUUAUUUAAAAUUGAAGAGGAACACUAUGGUGAUGGAGUAAUGUAUGGGUGAUCCAACUAGGUGAUCGUUCUUGGACUUAACUAUCCACUUUUGUUGUAGAGAAUUAGGAGAAGAUGAGUGAUGGAGUACUCUUGGGAAGAUAUGAAUCUUUGAACCGACUCGUAAAGAUACUCUUUGGUAUGGUCACUUUUUACGAUACAAAUGGGGACUCCUAACGGAUUGUAGUUUUCAAUAGUUUGUUAGUAUGUAAAACAGCUUGGAAGAUAUUUUCAUUGGGAAUAUUCCAGUGCAGUUGGAGUAAUCGUCAAUCAUUGUAAUACAGUAAUGAGCUUAGACUAGAACUUACAGGCAUGGUCCAAUGUAAUCAUGGUGGACAGGUUCUAAAAGGGAUGGGAAUUUACUACUGUCUUGUUUUGGGAAGAAGCACAUUUUUGUUUUCCAAAUUGAUACGAGUCAUAAACUAGUGUUGUUAUAGAGGAAAAUCAGAAUUUUUUUAUUUUUUUUUGAUAACCGAGAAAUUCGUUUGUGACCCGCCCUUUGGACCAAUCACAGCCUUCCAAACUCGGUGGAUAAUGGGCCCGCCCCUCUACCCUUCUCCACUUAAAUAUCGGGCUUCGCUUUGCAUGGUGUGGGGCUUGAACCUGCGACCUAAGUCACAAAUCCUCCACCUUUUGCCACUUGAGCUAGGCCUUGGGGGCAGGAAAAUCAGAAAUUAUAUGUCGAAGUUAAGAGAAUGAGGAUGACCAGUUGUAAUGCAGUGAAAUGAGCCAUCUGGCAGAUAGUAAAUGUUUCUUUACUUGCAUCCCCCAUGCAAUUGUUUGUCCUGUAACAUGAUCCUACAAGGAAUUGAGUAAGUCCGCUGAUAAUAAUAAAGCUAAAUGGGCAUUCAGAAACUUGUAGGACGUAGUUAAGAGUCAGAGAUGGAGUAAUGAGAACUUGACCGUGGUUUUGGUGCCAAAAGUAGGAUAAUUAUGGGUGAGAAAAAAAUAUCGAAUAUAAGAGAAUAAAUAUAUAUUACUUGCCAUGUGCUGAUAUUCUUAUAUCAAAAAUCCAUGCCCUAGAGACAGAAUGUUUGAGGAACAUCUCUGAGUUGCGGGUAUGUGUGAAAGAGAUACAGAUGAAUCCUUAAGUGAGUUAUAUUUCAAGAAUUCGUCAUGUUUGUCACUAGUUCCACUGUUGACUGAAGUACGAAAUCCUGAAGGUGCUUUCUGAUUUUUGCUUUCCAUUGCCAUUUAUGAUCAGAAAAGAAGAACUGGUCAUUAAUUGACAUUUUAAAAUCAUAGCCACAUUAGCUAAUUGUUGAAUAAGAACUGUCUAUGCUUGAUUCUUCUACCAGAAACACAUUAUGCCUCAACAUCUAUCUUUGGAUUUGGGAAGUGAUAGGCAAUGGGUUUCGUUUUUUCAGCAUGCUAGUGUCAAACUUAAUGUUCUCUCACAUUUCCGACCUUGAUACCAGAUAGAUGUGUGAUAAUCUCUUUUUGAUACAAAAAUUAUUUCUUGGUUGUACUGCAGGCCAGAGAUCUCAUUUUGAGGUUGAUGGAAGAGAGAGAUUCCAUUCUUCGACAAAAUGCCAAGCUCAACCGAGACCUGGUAUCUGAUGUUUCUUUCUUUUUCUUUGGAUUAAUAGACGGUUCUCUAUAUAUAUUAAACAUAGUUAGGCAUCAUUACAAAAUACAGGGUUCAGACAGACUCUGGAGUGCCGGGAUUGGUAUAGAUAACUGGGAUGGAUCUUUUAAAAGGAGUUCCUAAUAUGUGUAACUGAAAAGCAUCGUAGGCUUGUAUAUGGUGUACAAUAUGGAAAGAGAGGAAUUCUAGAUGUUUUGAAAAUAAGAGCAACUCUAUCCAACAGUUGAAGAUGAAUUGUAUUUUGCUCUUUAGUUUUUGGUGUAGACAGUCUCACUCUGUAGAAACUGUGAAAAUUCUAGAUGUAUUAAGCUCCCUAUAGAAGACUAGAAUAGCUCCAGUUUCUUAAGAGUCUUUUGAUGUAAAUAUGGUGCAAGUACAACCAAUGUACUGAAUGAUCUUAACAUUGAUAGAAAUACACAAAGUUACCAAUUUCAAAAAAAAAAAAAAGCAUCGUAGGCGAACAAGGAGGAACUAUCAACAAAAAUAUGUCACCAAAAAGUUUCUUCUUUGCUACUUCCUUAGCUAGUAAGUCUGUGACGUGGUUCUGUUCUUUGUAGCAGUGAGUCAGCUGAGGUGCUUGUAGCAUCA
rnacentral:lncRNA from 1 species